rnacentral:rRNA from 1 species
UACAGAGGUCUCAAGCGUUUGUUCGGAUUCAUUGGGCGUAAAGGGUGUGUAGGUGGCGCCGUAAGUCGGGUGUGAAAUUUCGGAGCUUAACUCCGAAACUGCAUUCGAUACUGCGGUGCUUGAGGACUGGAGAGGAGACUGGAAUUCAUGGUGUAGCAGUGAAAUGCGUAGAGAUCAUGAGGAAGACCAGUGGCGAAGGCGGGUCUCUGGGCCGAUAUUGACGCUGAGGAGCGAAAGCGUGGGGAGCGAACAGG